AAACAACCAGGACGCCGAGAGGAAGCCCAUGUAGCCACACGCAGGAGGACCAAGGCCCCAGGCCGCCAGCCCCGCCAGCUCCCAGCUGUCAGCCAGCACCAACUUGCCAGCAUUGGGAGCAAGGCCUCAGCUGAUGUCACGAAGGGUGGAGAGGAGCUGUCCCCCAGGCCCGGGCCCAAACUGUGAAAUCCUGAGUCAAUAAAUGAUGAUUUCCGUUUUAAACCGCUAACAUUGGGGCUGGUUGGUUACACAACGACAGAGGACCGCAGCAGCCCCCACCCCUUGCUCCGUGCACGCUCCAGUUCUGCAGAUGCCCCUCACACCCUGUCACAGACCGAAUGUUUGUGUCCCCCCAGCUUCCUAUGUUGACGCCCUGGGCCCCAGGUGGCAGUGUCUGGAGACGGGGCCUGUGAGGAGGUGCCGAAGGCUAACUGAGGCCAUGAGGGUGGGGCCCUAACUCGGUAGGACCAGUGCUCUGACAAGAGGAAGGGACACGAGAGCUCUCUCUCCACCACGUGAGGACGUGGGGAGAAGGCACCCGCCAGGAGGAGGGGUCCCCCAGAACCCCGCCCUGCCAGACGCUGCUCUGGGGCUUGCAGCCUCCAGCACUGUGGGAAAAUGAACUUCUGUGGUUCACGUGGCCCCGUCUCUGGCCCUCUGUUGUGUCGGCCGAGCUGAGGGAGGCCCCCAGCCUCAAAGCCCCUGCCCACGCCUCCUCCCGCCAGGUUGUUCCGCGUAGCUAACGCCGGCCAUCGUCCCUCUCAGCAGACGCGUCUCCAUGCAGGGGCACCGCUGACCGGCCUGCACACCCUCGGCCAGGCCUCCCCGUCCAUCCCUGUCUGAGCAGCCGGCCCCUCCCCACCCCACAGGCCGGUCUGCCGCUGAUCCUCCUGGAGGACGCUGCCCCUCCCUGAGCUCAGCACGGGACCUGCACACACGCGCUCCCUUUCAGAGGAGACAGCGGCCUGCCCAGGAAGGGCAGAGCACCUUUGGACCCAGAAGUUCUGCUCCCAGGUAUAGACGCCAGUGAAGCGUGGGACUCGGCCCUGAGCUGGAAUGGGCCCGCGUGUCUCUAUGGGACAGUGCGUGCAUGUGGCCCACCCACACAAGGGACGCUAAACAGUCGUGGGAACACACGCACCCUGGGCACCCCGAGCAGCCGGGUGAGUCGCCCAGGGAGCCAGUCCCCAAACAGGGCGCGCAUCACGGUCCACGUGAAUGAGGAAAAACGGGCAAAACGCCACGCCUCAGCUGAGGGUGCCCCCCGGGGAGCCAGACUGUGAGGCCGAGCAGGGACACGGCUGUCACAGAAGUCAAGCACCAGUCGCCCCAGGGAGAGGGGCUGUUGUCAGGAGGAACACGAGUGCUUCUGGGCGGCUGGAAAGGUCCUGUUUCCUGACGUGGGAGGUGAAUACAGACGUCUAUACCAGCCGAAUCUUUAAACUGUAUGCACACGCGUAGGCAUACGCAUGCGUAGAUGUUGUGUGUGUCUUCUGUGUGUAUGUCACAAUUUGAAAACGGAAAAAUGAGCAAUGGUCCACCACAGUGAUGGAUUAUCAUUUUACGAAGGGGGAGAGAGCCCCCGCUUUGCUCCUUGCACGUCUAGGCCGGUUGUCGCAGGGGAACCGCCGGCCACCCCCGGCAGCACCCAAGCCCCCGCACUCUCUCCGGCAGCAAACGAGACCCAAAGCAGGGAGUUCCCAGCGAUGUGUGUCCCAGCGGCCUGAAUGGAAGCCCCUUGUUCUAGAAGGACACUGGACUCCCGUCCAGCAAUUCCAGGUGGGGGUCGGUGCCCAGCACACCACCCCCUGUGCUGGCAGAUGACAGAAGACCGGAAUGGCGGGCAGAAACUCGUGCUGUCUCCAUAGCCCAGGGGCCAGGGACAAGGUGCAGACAGCUCUCUGUCACCUGGACGGCUCUCCAAGGCCACUCUCAGGGAGCCUGAAGGAAAGCAAGCCCCGGACAGGGAGGAAGGGCGAGCCGGGAACAGCGGGAGAGGGUGCUUGUCGUCGUUUUGUUUUCCAUUCCAUCCCAGCCGCGGGGGGAGGAAAGCAGGCGGGGCGUGUGUGCGUGUGCGUGUUCGUGUGUGUGUGCACGUGUGUGCGUGUGUGUGUGUGCACCUCGAUCUCCAUCUUCAUCUCUCCCCGGGGAAGCCAGCUCCCGGCCUGUGAGCGGCCCUGUGGAGAGGCCCACGUGGGGAGGACCCGACGCCUCCUGCCCCCAGCCACAUACGGGAGCUGAGAGGGAGACUCCCCGCCUGGGAUAACGCGGCCCCUGCCGACAUCCUGACCGACCCCUCGACAGCCGUGAGUCAGAGCCGCCCAGCCCUGCUGCCCCUGGGCUCCUGGCCCACACAGCCCAGAUGAUAAACAUGGGCUGCUGUCGUUCAUCCCCCAGCAGGAGACAGACCCCUCCUCGGAGCCUGUCUACCGUCCCCUGCAUGGCAGCCCUCAUUCAGGGCCCCUGGAGCCGUCUUGCUUAUGGCUGCUUACCGUCUCUGCCUUCCUCGUUAGAGGGAACCCCCCGCAAGGACAGGGGAUCUGUAGGUUCACAGUAGGGUCCCCAGUGCCACGACAGCACAGAGGUUGCUUGACAAAUGGCCAAGGUGCAGCAAUGCAGCAAACCAGGAGCCCCAUUGCUCUGACGUCCCGUGUCUGAGAGGCGGGAACACGCCAGNNNNNNNNNNNNNNNNNNNNNNNNNGGAACAAGCACGGGCCCUGAGUCAGGCCUCCCCGGUCCCAGCCCCAGCCCCGGCCCCAAGGGACCUCAGAGUCACCCAACCUGGAGGAGCCUCGGUUUCCACAUCUGUGCACUGGGGAUGAUAGUAACAGUUAGCCCACAGGAGCUGUAAGGAAACAAGACACACCCCUGGCACAGAGCAGCUGAUCAAUCAAGCUGCCUCUCUCACCCUGUCUGAAGGUUCACAUGAGAAUGUGAGCUCCCUGCCGCUAGGCGGCAAGCCACUGCUCAGGGGCAGACCUGCAGUGAAGGAGGGCAGCUGACAUCUGUAGUAGAGGAUGCGUCCCCAUGCGCCAGAGCCAGCAUCCUCGUGCGCCCAGCAGAGCAGGCUCCAGGGGACAGUUGGCUCUGUGAACCCAGGACAAAGCUGGCCCCAACCUCACACACUAACAGCGACCCACGGCAGAGUCCCGUUUACGCCAAGGGUGGCACAUUCAGAGGAUGCCCUUGAAUCCCAUGGAGAUUCAUCACCAGUCGCAGGGCCGAUGGAGCACUGAAUGACAUGGGGAGAAGAGGCAGAGACGGCCGGGUGGAACCCUGGGGUGGAUGACACCUGUGUGCACACGUGGUCCUGGCCUCAGCAUGGGGGCGCAUCGGGCAGCUGAGAGCGUCCUGGAGCCCUCUGGGUUCCUGCCCACAAGGAUGAGAACCAGGAACGGGACAACCUUCCAAACUGGAGUGAGCAGGUGUGAGGUCACAGAAGCAGCCUCACACCUGUUGACUCACGGCCCAGGGACUGUCCCAGCAGGACUCCAGAGCCGGGACGAGGCUUUCCACGUGCGCAUGCUUAGGCCACGGAGGCCUCAGCUUGUGCGGCGCCAGACGCAGACCUGGAGAGGAGGACUCUGGAGCAGGAGUUUAUCUGGGUGGUGGAGGCAGGGGGGUUGGGAAGUGAGAGAGGGAAGAGGCGGGGGCUAAUAAUGGCUCCUAUGGGCUGCCCAGCACUGUGGGGCCCCACUCUGGACACCCACCACCGUGGGCAACAGGAGCUCGGCCCACCAGGGAGCCCUGGCAGCCGGGGCAGAGCAGGCCGCUCAGGGCUCUCCCACUCAAGGGGUGAGGCAGCUGGGGUACCGGCUGAAGGUGCUCCUGGGGGACAGCAGUUUCCACAUUUGAGCCUGUCACCCAGGGGGCCAAGGAGUCUCCAGCGGUAAGGAAAGUCCCAGCCAGACAGAGCUGGCAGCUGGAAGCCAGGACAGUAUGCACUGUGGAAGCUAGGGUGAGGCGCUCUGAGAGCCAGUGCUCCCGGGACCAAGAGAGAGCCACUCGCUCUCCUCCUUGUAACACAGUGGAUAGCUGAGCCUUCCCGUGGCCUCGAGAAGGUCAAGGGUGCAAGUGAUCAUUUCUGUCACUCUUAUUUCACACCUCUGGUGGACCCUGCAGGCUGACUCAUUCCACCAGUGUGCCAGCCCCUCCUUCUGUGCUUGGCCCCAUGGGAGUCUCUGGAAAAACUGCCAUCGACAUCUCCGUGACUCCCUUGCAGCCAGGGAUCUGCCAGUGGCCUCAGCUCCUCUGGACAGAUGCCUGCCCGAGAUUUAAAAGGUGGAAGUGAGCCGCCCAAGGUGGUGGAGGAUGGGGCUCCUGGCUGGCAGGGAACAGGGG
rnacentral:lncRNA from 1 species